CCCCGCCUCCCCGCGCUGCCCACCCCUCCCAGGGAGAACGCCUUCAGCAAGGCCUGGCCUCCCAGGGUGCCACGCCCUCGCUUGGGGCCUCCGACAGUGCUGGCCUUCGGAGGGAGGCUACCAAAUUGCCUUCCUCCAUCGCUCAUGGCAGCCUUGAGCCACGGGGCAGCUCUGUAAGAUGCAUAUGGAAAGACGGCCGCGGCAGUGGACAGUGUCUAAGCAUAAAGGGUCGUCCUGUCGCAAGCCGGAAGGAGCCUGAAAGCGUCUGCUGCUAGGGGAUCAGUCUGCCACUAUUUCGUCAGAGCUGAAUUCCUUUGUUCCAGAGGGGAGAAGCCCUACAGCGCUGUCUCUGUCCGCCUCCCUGUCUGGGCUCCCCUCUCUCUGCCUCCCUCUCUGCGUCUCUCAGCCUCUCUCCCUCCCCUCCAUCUCCCUCCUUCUCUCUCUCUCUGUCUCUCCCCCUCCCUCCCUCUCUUUUUCUCUCUGUCCUGCUCCUCCCCUGUCUGUCUCACAUUCUCUCUCCCUCCCCCUCAGCUUCCCCUCUUUCAUUCACCCCCUCCCCCCCCCCCCCCCCGCCACCCCUCUCUCUGGCUCUCUGGCGGGUCGGCAUAGACAAAGACUGAAAGACACAGAAAAUGCCUCUCUCCAGCACUCUUUUCCCGGGAAAUAAGAGACCUCUCCUCCUCUGUGAGUGGCACCCUCUAAAUGUGACCCACCAGAAUCUGGGACGUUGUGUGUCCACACCUCCGCAGAGUGCCUUUCUGGUGAAGGACGGAGGGACAUGCGCCUUUCUUUCGGCCAGCGGAACACAGCCUAAGGGACGGAUGUCUCUCCCGGGAUCAUGUGACAUCGCACAAGACGAAGUCUUGGCCGCUCUGUGGAGAGAGGGAGAGAGGGAUGCACUUUGCUGGCUCGAGGAAUUCUGUGACCAUCGCUCAGAAGCCCGGACGCCAAGGAGCCGAGGAUGGCACCCAGUCAAAAGGCAUCACCGAUGCACGCCUCCACGGCCGCAGAGAGGAGGGCCCGAAUCCUGCCAACCGCAUGCCUGCAAGCUUCCUGCUCUCCCCUAGCCUCCAGGGGAGAGUGCACACCAGCCCAGCCGUUCAUUCCAGCCAAGAGGCAAAGACCCAGCUAAACCGUCCUGUCCGCAGUCCUGACCCAAAAGAGACGGCAGAAAGGGAACGAGUGUCCUUUCAAUCCGGCAAAAGCACGAUGGUGGCAGCUCGUCACGCAGCAAUACACAUCAGCCUGCCCGAACCUUACAAGAAAGCUGUCUGUUUCAGGCCUGGCUCUGGGGGGGAAGUGUCGCACGUGCACUUGAGAAGAUGUUGAAUGUUGCUGUCGUUGCUCUGGGUUUUCUUCCUCUUUUGUGUGUGCCGCUUGGCUCCGUUCUCUUCGUGGUGUCCAUAGGCUCCUCUGGGUCUUCACACGGGUUCUUCUUUUCUGCCUCUUCUAGCAGUGACGCGUCGGGGGUGCUGGCUCAUGACACCGCAUACAUUUGGCCUGAUCGGUGAGGACCUUGGAUCGAUGUCUCUCGUCUCCGUGUUUCCAAGUGUACCAAGUUUCUGUAGGUGUCGUGUGAUGCUGUAGGAGGCCACUGGGAAGUAGGUCUCUAUGAAGACCUAUCUCCUUGGACCACGAACAGGCCAGAGGUCCACUGCUUUGGGCCACGUCUGACUCAAGGUCUUCAAGAAAGUGCGGAUCCUCAGGGUCAGUGAAGAAAUCAGCCACCGGAGGGGAGGCGGCAAAGGGCUCAUGUCCACUAGCUGAUAUGGAAGUGUUUUUGUGUGGAAGCGCGGUGACGUGUCAGUGUCCCCUGCCUCGGACCUACUUCAGGUUCACCGGCACAGGAUGAGAAAACCCAACCCAGCAUCACUGGACACAGACAUGCAAACACAGAGACGGAUACGGGCACGCGGACAGGACGUUCAGACGCGCAGGGACAGAAUAAGGUAGCCGACGGAGCGGGUUAUGGUCAAAGUCAGAGAAAGAGAAACACAGACUCGGGCGUGCCAAGGGACAGGGACGUGGGCAAAUAGGCACCCGGGAUCUCCCAGAAUCUCCCAGAAUAAAAGGAGAAGAAGAGCAAGGCCCUGGCUCCAUCCAACCGAGGAGCCGGCAGGCUCGUGAAUCCGUGAGGUGACUGUGUGGGAAAAGAAGGAGCCACUCGGCGGCCCAGGGGCCCUCCCGCUAAGGGAAGAUGAGGUUAGGGACGUG
rnacentral:lncRNA from 1 species